rnacentral:rRNA from 1 species
UACGUAGGGUGCGAGCGUUGUCCGGAUUUAUUGGGCGUAAAGAGCGUGUAGGCGGCCAGGUAGGUCUGCUGUGAAAACUCGAGGCUCAACCUCGAGACGUCGGCGGAAACCAUCUGGCUAGAGUCCGGAAGAGGAGAGUGGAACUGCGAGUGUAGAGGUGAAAUUCGUAGAUAUUCGCAAGAACACCAGUGGCGAAGGCGGCUCACUGGCCCGAUACUGACGCUGAGGCACGAAAGCGUGGGGAGCAAACAGG